GCCGUGAUAGUGUAGCGGUAUCACAGUGCCUUGUGGAUUCGAGUCAAUCGGUUCAAUACGGCACUAACCUGGGUUCGACUCCCAGUCGCGGCA